UGGGGGAUAUUGCACAAUGGGCGAAAGCCUGAUGCAGCGACGCCGCGUGGGGGAUGAAGGCCUUCGGGUUGUAAACUUCUUUUGCUCUGAACAAGGCAUGCUAAUGGGUGUGUUGUGUGUAGGGGUUGAUUAGCGCCGGCUAACUACGUGCCAGCAGCCGCGGUAAUACGUAGGGCGCGAGCGUUGUCCGGAAUUAUUGGGCGUAAAGGGCUUGUAGGUGGCUGGUUGCGUCUGUCGUUAAAGCUCAUGGCUUAACGGUGGGUUUGCGGUGGGUACGGGCUGGCUUGAGUGCAGUAGGGGAGGGUGGAAUGACUGGUGUAGCGGUGGAAUGCGCAGAUAUCAGGAGGAAUACAGGUGGCGAAGGCGGGUCUCUGGGCUGUUACUGACACUGAGGAGCGAAAGCAUGGGGAGCGAACAGG
rnacentral:rRNA from 1 species